GAUGAACGCUGGCGGCGUGCCUAAUACAUGCAAGUCGAGCGAACGGACGAGAAGCUUGUUUCUCUGUUGUUUGCGGCGGACGGGUGUGUCACGCGUGGAUACCCUCCCUAUAUUUCUGGGAUAACUUCGGGAAUCCGGCGCUUAUACCGGAUAAUAUUUUGCUCCGCAUGGUUCAUUAGUGAAAGUCGGUCUUGCUGUAUCUUAUCGCUGGAUCCGCGCUGCAUGAGCUAGUUGGUAAGGUAACGGCUUACCACGGCAACGAUGCCUAGCCGACCGGAGAGGGGGAUCGGCCACACUGGAACGGAGACACGGUCCAGACUCCUACGGGAGGCAGCAGUAGGGAAUCGGCCGCAGUGGGCGAAAGCCUGACGGAGCAACGCCGCGUGAGUGAUGAAGGUCUUCGGAGCGUAAAACUCUGUUAUUAGGGAAGAACAGAUGUGUAAGGAACUGUGCACAGCUUGACGGUACCUAAUCAGAAAGCCACGGCUAACUACGUG
rnacentral:rRNA from 1 species